GGCAGUGUGGUGUGAUGGUUUGAGCAUUGGACUAGGACUCUGGAGACCAGCGUUCGAAUCCCUGCUCAACCA